rnacentral:lncRNA from 1 species
UGUUGCUAGAUUGGGCCGGAAUCUUGCAACACUGGCGACCCCCAUGACGACUUCCAUUACUUAAUUACAAUGGAUGAAAAUUUGCUUAACCAGAGAACCCAAUGUGCACCGAAUUCAGAGAAUCACCCAGCUGCCAUCAGCGAGGACCAUGAGCCAAACUGGCCAAAAUAUGAUAUGACGAUCAUCAGAACUUGUGACAACUACAAAGAUGCCUGUAGGAUUAUGGAGCAGUAUCAGACCGGCUGCAACACCUCUGAUCUACAGUCUGAGGCAGAGCAGGAGUGCGGGCCACCAGAUAAGAGACAAAGGAGGCCAGUCCAUCGUUUCGGAAACCCUGACCAGAGCGAAGAAGAUGUGGAAGAUAUAGUGUCUCAGUUGGAAGCACUACCAGUGCUUCCACGCCCAAGCCAAUUGCCCCGGCAGACUCCACUAUCUCGCCGAGUGCCAGGCAGUAUAUUCAGUCCUCCUCAACCUGGAGAAAAUUGUCCAGCACCUCACCAUGGGGCAGGACUGCAUCACCCUGCACCCGCUUUGAACAUGCAGAGAGUUACUCAAGUUGCUGUGAGGAAAAACGUGGUGACACGGUCAGCCACCGACGCGGAGGUCACCAAACACGCCAUCAGGUGGUUCAACCUGGCGUCGGAUCGAGCGGCGAGGAGACGUGUCCCUCCUCCAUCCACUCAUUUGACCCAAUGAAUAACAAUUAAACAAUCUUUUGAUUGAACUUCUUGUCGUUCACCAGUUAUUCAUUUUCUGAUAUUUUAGCUGUAUAUAGCGCAGCAUUUCAUGUUGUAGCCUAAUAGAUA